rnacentral:rRNA from 1 species
AGAGUUUGAUCCUGGCUCAGGAUGAACGCUAGCGGCAGGCUUAACACAUGCAAGUCGAGGGGUAGAGUUCUUCGGGACUUGAGACCGGCGCACGGGUGCGUAACGCGUAUGCAAUCUACCUUUCACAGAGGGAUAGCCCAGAGAAAUUUGGAUUAAUACCUCAUAGUAUUAUGAAAUGGCAUCAUUUUAUAAUUAAAGUCACAACGGUGAAAGAUGAGCAUGCGUCCCAUUAGCUAGUUGGUAUGGUAACGGCAUACCAAGGCUACGAUGGGUAGGGGUCCUGAGAGGGAGAUCCCCCACACUGGUACUGAGACACGGACCAGACUCCUACGGGAGGCAGUAGUGAGGAAUAUUGGACAAUGGGCGCAAGCCUGAUCCAGCCAUGCCGCGUGCAGGAUGACGGUCCUAUGGAUUGUAAACUGCUUUUGUACGGGAAGAAACACUCCUACGUGUAGGAGCUUGACGGUACCGUAAGAAUAAGGAUCGGCUAACUCCGUGCCAGCAGCCGCGGUAAUACGGAGGAUCCAAGCGUUAUCCGGAAUCAUUGGGUUUAAAGGGUCCGUAGGCGGUUUAGUAAGUCAGUGGUGAAAGCCCAUCGCUCAACGGUGGAACGGCCAUUGAUACUGCUAAACUUGAAUUAUUAGGAAGUAACUAGAAUAUGUAGUGUAGCGGUGAAAUGCUUAGAGAUUACAUGGAAUACCAAUUGCGAAGGCAGGUUACUACUAAUGGAUUGACGCUGAUGGACGAAAGCGUGGGUAGCGAACAGGAUUAGAUACCCUGGUAGUCCACGCCGUAAACGAUGGAUACUAGCUGUUGGGAGCAAUCUCAGUGGCUAAGCGAAAGUGAUAAGUAUCCCACCUGGGGAGUACGUUCGCAAGAAUAAACUCAAAGGAAUUGACGG